rnacentral:rRNA from 1 species
GACGAACGCUGGCGGCGUGCUUAACACAUGCAAGUCGAGCGAGUGGAUUCCCUUCGGGGAUGAAGCUAGCGGCGGACGGGUGAGUAACACGUGGGCAACCUGCCUUAUAGAGGGGGAUAGCCUUCCGAAAGGAAGAUUAAUACCGCAUAAUAUCAGAUUAUCGCAUGGUAGACUGAUCAAAGGAGCAAUCCGCUAUAAGAUGGGCCCGCGUCGCAUUAGCUAGUUGGUGAGGUAACGGCUCACCAAGGCGACGAUGCGUAGCCGACCUGAGAGGGUGAUCGGCCACAUUGGGACUGAGACACGGCCCAGACUCCUACGGGAGGCAGCAGUGGGGAAUAUUGCACAAUGGGGGAAACCCUGAUGCAGCAACGCCGCGUGAGUGAUGAAGGCCUUCGGGUUGUAAAGCUCUUUGAUCAGGGACGACAAUGACGGUACCUGAAGAACAAGCCACGGCUAACUACGUGCCAGCAGCCGCAGUAACAC